UCUUGGUCAUUUAGUGGAAGUAAAAGUCGUAACAAGGUUUCCGUAGGUGAACCUGCGGAAGGAUCAUUAUUGAAACAUUGCGAAGGAGGUUGAGCUGGCUACUCGCAAGUGCUUGCCUCCUUUCAAUCUCUUCAUCCACCUGUGCACCUUAUGUAGGGGGAUUUUGUGGGUUUUACUACCUGUGACUUCUCUCUAUGUCUUUACACACUCUUUAAUGUAUGUCUAUGAAUGUUAUCUAGGGACUUUAUUGACCCUAUAAAAAGUUAUACAACUUUCAGCAACGGAUCUCUUGGCUCUCGCAUCGAUGAAGAACGCAGCGAAAUGCGAUAAGUAAUGUGAAUUGCAGAAUUCAGUGAAUCAUCGAAUCUUUGAACGCACCUUGCGCCCCUUGGUAUUCCGAGGGGCAUGCCUGUUUGAGUGUCAUUAAAUUCUCAACCCCAUAAACUUUGUGUUUGUGAGGCUUGGAUGUGGGAGUUGCUGGCUUGUAACAGAGUCGGCUCUUCUGAAAUGCAUUAGUGGAUUUUAGCGCUUUUGCAAACCACAUUGGUGUGAUAAUUAUCUACGCCUUUGACUAAGUGUUUGCAGUCUGGGAGGUUGCAGUAUUUACUUACUGCUCUUUCUGUGAAUGUUGAAUCCGCUUCAAACCGUCCAAAGUUAUUGGACAACUUGACUUGUUUGACCUCAAAUCAGGUAGGACUACCCGCUGAACUUAAGCAUAUCAAUAAGCGGAGGAAAAGAAAACUAACAAGGAUUCCCCUAGUAACUGCGAGUGA
rnacentral:sRNA from 1 species